AGAAUUGCCUUAGAAGGGGAGAUACCAUGAUCACGAAGGUGGUUUCCCCAGGGUGAGGCUCACCUAUUGCACUUUGGGUGUGCUGACCCUGCGAUUUCCCCAAAUGUGGGAAACUCGACUGCAUAAUUUGUGGUAGUUGGGGACUGCAUUCGUGCUCUCCCCUG